rnacentral:rRNA from 1 species
AGGUUACUGCUAUCGGUGUUCGCCUAUGCCAUGCGAGUCAUAUGUUCUUCGUGAACAUGGCGUACUGCUCAGUAACACGUGGAUAACCUGCCCUUGGGUCCGGCAUAACCCCGGGAAACUGGGGAUAAUUCCGGAUAACGCACAUAUGCUGGAAUGCUUUAUGCGUCAAAUGGAUUCGUCCGCCCAAGGAUGGGUCUGCGGCCUAUCAGGUAGUGGUGGGUGUAAUGUACCUACUAGCCUACGACGGGUACGGGUUGUGAGAGCAAGAGCCCGGAGAUGGAUUCUGAGACAUGAAUCCAGGCCCUACGGGGCGCAGCAGGCGCGAAAACUUUACAAUGCGGGAAACCGUGAUAAGGGGACACCGAGUGCCAGCAUCAUAUGCUGGCUGUCCGGGUGUGUAAAAUACACCUGUUAGCAAGGGCCGGGCAAGACCGGUGCCAGCCGCCGCGGUAACACCGGCGGCCCGAGUGGUGAUCGUGAUUAUUGGGUCUAAAGGGUCCGUAGCCGGUUUGGUCAGUCCUCCGGGAAAUCUGACGGCUUAACCGUUAGGCUUUCGGGGGAUACUGCCAGAC